rnacentral:rRNA from 2 species
AAAACGACUCUCGGCAACGGAUAUCUCGGCUCUCGCAUCGAUGAAGAACGCAGCGAAAUGCGAUACUUGGUGUGAAUUGCAGGAUCCCGCGAACCAUCGAGUCUUUGAACGCAAGUUGCGCCCUAAGCCUUCCGGCCGAGGGCACGUCUGCCUGGGUGUCAUGC